CUUCCGGUGCCUUUGCAGUCGCCAAAGUCACGCUUGCCAUACAAUACACGGGGCGCGCGUGCGGCUUCGAAAAACAACGCUUCCCUUUCUGGACACCAGACGAACGGCGCAUCUUCGACCACAGUGAUUGAGGUCACCGCCGUUCCUUCACGAGCUUCCGUUUACAGAGCAUCAGGGGUGAGAGCUCAGUUCGGUUACUGUGGAGUCCGGUCUACGCAUUCAGGUUUCUGCAUGUUGGCUUUUGUCUCCCAGUCCAUGUGGGCCUGAAUAUGAAGGAACACAAGGAUGAUACAUGUCAACACUGACAACCUCUGCAGUGAUGGCAAAGACAGGAAUGUGAGCAGCAGUCAGUGGCACAAGACGAAAAACCUGGAAAGAACAGUACAACGCAAGAACACACAGCCACAGGAAUGAAAGCUAACUGUUAGCUGGCUACGUUUGGGUCAAUGGGACAAAUUAACAAAAAAAAUUUUAAAGACUGGAGUCACAUUGAGAAUAUUAUAGCUUUAGUGCCAUUUUAAAGGACAUAGGACAUAAAUGUAUGCAUGGUAUAGCAUUAAUACAACUAUAUUAAAAUUGCA